UUCCUUAUCAGAUAAAUGAUUUUAAAAAAUUUUCUGCUGUGUGUUGUUUUUUCACUUUCUGGAUGGUGUCCUUUGAAGCAAAGUUUUAAAAUUUGAUGAACUCCAAUUUAUCUCUGUUUUCUUUUUCCUUGUUCUUUUGGGGUAAUAUUUAAUAUCUGAGGUAUUUUAUUUAAACUUUUAUAUAUAAAAUAACUUAAUUAUUAAGACCGAUCUAGGAGACGGGUGCUGUUGUUGUCCCCAGUCUAUGGAUAGGAGACUGGGAUGCAGAAAAUUUCACUGACUUAUCAGUGUCAAAGCUACCCAGUGCUGUGGGAGUUCAGACCCUCAUGUUUGUCCCCAGCAUCUGUGCUCUUCACCACCAUGCUCCACUCCUUCCUGGAAUCGUUAAUGAAAAAGUCUUUACUUUUUUGAUUUCUUGUUAGUUUUUGUUUUUCUCAUUGGGGCCUCAUCUCCUCAUUUUCCUAAAAGAGAUCAGUGUAGGUUUAUUUUAGGUCUCAUGUAGGCAGAAGCAUUGCUAUCAGUUAACUUCUUUAUUACUCACUCCCCAGUGAUGGCUGUUGCUAAUUGACCUAAUGAAGUCUUGCUUUAGUCUUUCCUUCUCAUGACACUAACAACAGAGUCAAGACUUACAGAAUGCUUAAAGAAGAAAGUACUUGAUUGAUUUUAUUUUGCUACCCAAUCAAACCAAUCAAAUAAAAACCCCAGAGUUGACACAGACGGUAAGCCCUCCAGAAUAGGGUCACUGUCUUCCUUGUGUUUCAUUUGUUUGGUCACAGUGUCUGCAUAGUGCCUUGCUGUCCAGCAGUUUUGUUAGGAUACAGUGCUCGUGAAUCAUUGUAAGGACAGUAUUUUGACAACAGACUGUGCUGUUCAUUUAACGAGGGAAAAGUUAAUAUAGAAAUACUGCUCAGAUCUAUUUUAAAAUUAAGCUUGGAAUUUUGAGCAGAGUUCAAAAAACCAUACAAAGAUAUUUUUCACUAAUUUUAGAUCUAUCUUAGACACAUUAUGGUUACAUAGCAGAGUACCUUAACAAGUAGAUUUGACAAGAGGUGUGUAUUAUUGAUUAUUUGUUUUAGUUGAAAUAUUCUACCUGGGAUAAAAUAUUCAGUGCCCAUAAAUGAACAAAUAUGUUUGUAUUUCCAUGCAACAUGGGAGCAGACUUCAUAAGUUUCUAUAUAAUAUAUAUGACUGUGUGUUUUAAUCUGUCUGUCAGUGUUUUUAGUUUUUCAGCAAUGUUGUAACUUUAGAAUUCUUCUAAGAAAAUCACCCCAGAUUCUAGUGCAGUUUGUACUGUGUAUCCUGUCUUAUGCAUGGGAUUCCACUGUCCCCACAGGGAGGAAUUUCCUCUUCUAUUGAGUUAGUAUCAGAGUUAAAGGAACUGUGAUUUCUAGGCCUUUGCUCUCCAUGUGUUUGCAGUUGGCUGUCAAUCGCGAUUUUCCCUUUCCUGAGUUUUCAUUGUUCAAUUAGAAUUUUUGAAAAUAACUAUUAAUAUGUUGCAUCGGUCUCCCUAGAAACUUGAUGUAUUUGUGCUUUUCAGUUUUCAAUUUAUGAAAAAUGUAAAUACACACUUGUUUUUAAGUAGUCUUUUUUCACUAGAUAUUUGGUUACCUCUUUAUACUUAAAAUAUUUUUAUCCCAAUGAAUGAAUCCUUGUGCAUGUUUUAAAAGAUACCUUACUUUUAAUUUUUCUUAUUGUAACAGUUAUAUUCAUUGUAGAGAAUUUAGGAAAUACGGAUAAACAUAUUAAUAACUUAAAAUGGCCUCUAAUCUCACCUAGACAUACAGUUAAAGGUUUGAAAUUGAGAAUUACAAGUCCUCUCACAUUGUUCUUCUUUUUCAAGUACGUUUUGGUUACUGAGACCCUCGAAUUCCCAUAUGAAUUGUAGCAGCAGCUAGUCAGUUUCUGCAGAGGAGACCGCAGGGAUUGUGAUCGAGACCACGUUGAAUAUACGGAUCGUUCUGGGGAGCACUGCCAUUCCAAGAGCGCUGUCUUCUGAUCCAGCAAUGUGCGUGGUUUGUCCAGGUGAUAAUGCUCUGGCUGCUGAAUGUGCCCUUUCCCCAGACUUGGUUUUGGAGUUAAGUCACCAUCAGUGGAGCCCUCUCUUUAAAAGAUGAAGAAAACAUUUGCUCCUUCUCCCUGGUUGGGGACUUGGAUGAGAUGAGAGUUCUACAUAUAGAUGGUUACAUUCUGUACCUGGAAAUUUCUACAAAAUUUCUUCCCACUAUCUCUCCAUCUGAGGCGGCAGCGUGCUCUCUUACCAGCAUCAGGAGCUCAGGGCCACGGGAUGGUGGGGGCUGACUGCAUUGCCGUCAAGACAGCUGAGCUAGUCACUGCAGGUGCCCUCACCUCCAGUAGCAUCCAUCCAGACACCGGAACUGACACUGGCCGUGCUCAGAACUGCCUCAGCCCUGAAGACACAACUGACAAAUAGAAGAGGACCACGCCCUGUUAUAGCAGGUGCUCGCACUUUGUGGAUCCUUAUGUAACUGAGCGGUGUUAAUCAGGAUUGCCCGUUCUACAUUGUGUGGCGCUGCUGCGGUGUCUCCUAGUUACUUGUUUCUCUCGAUUUAUUCACUCAGGGGUAUAUCAUGGACGUUCUCCCACUCCAGACUCACCCGGCCCUUUCAGAUAGAUUGGAGGGGUCUCCUGAUGUGCGGGUGUCGUCUCUUGUCCACGGACACAUUUGGUGGGAGAGUGCUGUGGACAAGGCCCUGGACCACGGCGAAACGCCGGCUCCCUCAGUACCCGCAGCUCGCCUUGAUUUACCGCAUCAUUGUCUUGAUGGUGGACAGUUAAGUUUUCUCCAUUUUCCACUGCCAGAAAGAAUGUUUGACUUGCAUCCUUCUUGUACAGACAUUCCUGUGAUCUUGUAUGUGUAUUUCUUUAGUUAAGGCUUCUGGAAAUUUAGUCCCUGUAUGUGACAUUUACAUUCACCACAGACUCCUUUCAAGUGACUAGAAAUUCCUUCUCCAUUGGGGAAUGAAAAAAUGCACAAUUACUUAUGUAACCAAUUCUCUAUCGCUGGAUAUGAUUUCACUUCAGUUUUUCUUCCCACCUUUGUAAACAGUGCUGUGUAAAUGCCCUGAUGGGUACAUCUUUUUGUACUGAUUUUUUUUCCUAAAGGAAACGAUUCCUAGAAGUGGAGUUGAGUCAGUGUGUAUGUACGUUUUUCAGAGCUUACAAAUCCAUUGAUAUGUCAUCCUCUGAAAAAGUCGCUCAUGAUUUGUUCUCCCACAGAUGGACACUAGCUAGUAUAUCUUAAAAAUAUUUGCCAAUAUGAUAAGCAAAAGUGCUUUUUCAUUGUUUUUGUUUGCAUUUGAUGACCAGUGAAGUUUUGAGCAUUUUUCACUCAUUAGCCAUUUGACUUUUUUAAAAUGAAUGAUUCCUUUUGUCCUUUGCCCACAUUUAAGUGAGGGAGCUUCUAGUUGCUUUGUGACAGCUUUUUGUAUGUUAUGAAAAUUAACUUCGUGAAUUCAUCAACAUGUAUCACAGAGCUUUUUCUUGUCAUUUCUUUCCUUUCAUGUUGUUCAGGAAUUUUUUUGAUUUUUGUUGUGGCUCAAACUAUUCUUAGGAUAGUAAAUGUCUUCCUUAUGGGUUUUAUCAUUGACAUUAUUCUUAGAAAUACUCUCUUAUAAUGGAAUAAAUCUCUUCUGUAGGUUUAUUUAAUCUCUAAGAUGGAGAUUAUAAUAGUACAUGUUAUAGUGAGGAGAAGUUGAGUUAAUAAGAGCAAAGAGUUGUAUUUGCUGUUACUAGUACUUUUUAAUAUUUACAUCGCUAUCUGCAAUUUAUCUUGUGGUCAUUAUGACAGGAAUGGAAUUUAUUCUUUCCAGGUGAUUCUCUGUCCCAGGACAAUUAUCGAAUUCAUAAUUUUCUCUUUGAUUUGAAAUCCCACCUGUACAAGAUACUUACAUACACUAGAGUCUUUUUUGAGCUCAUGGUUCCCUUCUGUCAAUCUCCUUUCCUUACUCCAGCACCAUAUCUUACAUGUUGUAAAAAUUUAUUUAAUAACUGGCAGUCUGAUUUUUUUUGAUUCUUUUCUUCCAUCCCAAAUUUUCUUGUCAAGUAUUAUGACUUUAUUAUUCCUGAAGAAUUCCAAAAUAUUUUGUUCAAGUUAAAAAAAAUCAGAUUGGAAUUUUCAUGGGAUUUUUUAGUAAGUUUUGAAUUAUUCUUAGGAGAACAUACAUCUUAACAAAACUGCUUUUCUCCAUGCAAUAUGUUUAUGUCUCUACAUUCAUACCUCUUACUUUAACCCUCAGUACAGUCCUGAAGUUUCUCCAUUUAGAAUAUGGGCAUUAUUUUUGAAUUUAUUCCAGAUUAUUGUUUAUGUUUUUGUUAAUUUUUUAAGUGAGAAUUUUUUGCUAUUAUAUUUUUAAAUGCUUAAAACUGACAUUUAGAAAGGAAGAUUCGGUUUGUCAAUACUCACUUUGUAACUUGUCAUUUAAAAUUGUAAGUAUUAAGUACUUGUUCCAGAAUCCUUUCUUUUCUGUUUUUUAAAAUUUGUUUCCAAGAUUCUCAAAAUGUUCAUAGCUAAGUAGUAUAGGUGGGGACACAGAUGGAGAGAGGAAGUGUGGCUCACGAACAAACUGUGAGCACUUUCAUGGGUGCCUUUAGGCUGGAGAAGCCACAGAAGAGCCCAGGUUAGACCAAGGGUGGCUUUGUAUGCACUUGAAAGCCAGCUUUCCUGCCUGUAUGGUGAAGCCUGGUGGGCGUGGCAGGUAGAUGAUCAAGGUCUGAUCAAGGUCAUUGGCUGCACAGAGCGCUGUGUCUGUGAGAACUGGAGACCAUUACCAUGGGAAAUGCUUGGUGCCAGGAACACUGCAGGGGAGCUGGGGGCCUGUGUGUUAAGGAUUUUCCAGCCCUGGGAGUGGGAAGAUGAGACUCUGCAUUCAGAUCUGAGUUUGAAUUCAUCCUCUCUUGUUUACUGGUCCUCUGACUUUUGUCAAGUUAUCUACCCGCUUUGAACUCCUGUUUUCUUGUCUCUCAAAACAGGAGAAUUACAGCCUGCUGCUAGAGUGUUUGCUCAGGGUAAAUGAUUUGUGUCUAUAAGAUGCCACGUACAGUCACAAUCUCAGUGAGAAAUGGGCUGUCGCCUCUUCGUCUGCAACUCAGUGCUCGAUAAGACAUCGGGGGAAAGCCAGUCCCUAAUUUGUAUGUGAUGCAAUGAGGAACAAAAUUAACGUCUUGCCUUUCCCUAGCAGUAUUCUUACUUCUUUGCUUCAUUUACCUCUUUCCUCCUUUACUCUCCCCUUUCACCUCCUCCACCAAAAGAGACUGAGUCUGUCUCAGAACACUACAUUCAAAUUACUUUAAAUGUUGGCUCAUCCCCAUGAAAUUACAGUGAAAUUAAAAAUAAUCUGUACACGUCCCAGAUAUGAUUAUAUUUGAUUUACACACACACACACACACACACACACACACAAAAUCAGGCUACCUCCCAUUUGCUGAGGGAGAAGGACCACUUUUUCUGAGUUUUCAUUCCCUGAGCGUGAGAGCAAUGUCUCUUAAGCAGAAAUUCGCCUGGCUUCUUGCAUGGUUUUUUAAAUUGGAUUUCUGCUUUUUGUCCACAGAAAUAGACUCCUAUUAGAAGAGGGGAAGUGGAGACAUAGAUAUUCUGCUGAGAUAUUGGUGUCAUCGUAUUUGAGUUGGAAAGAACUUACGACAGCAUAGAGUCGUACCUUUUUAUGGGAUCUGAGGAGGAGGAGAAAGGAACUCAGGUAGAGAUCCAGGAAGAUAUCAGACUGUGUUAAGAGAGGACAGACACAGUGACACGGGGAGCGAGGACACUUGCAGCAAGUGUAAGAAUGCCGGUGACUGAGUUAGAAGCAUGCUCCCAAGCUGUCGGUGUCCUUGCCAAUCAGAAGCGGACACUGGAAGCUUCCAAAUUUUUCCAGAAUGCGUUCUACAUUCACCUUCGGCAGAUAAGGAGACUGAGAAUUAAGUCUUCUCUCUUUGGGUGGAGCUCAUUAUCAAUGACGGGAAGUUGUAAGGAAAAAGAUAUUGUUUCAUCCUGAGAAAACAUUUUUCUGAGAGUCAGCAGUGAAGAAGGUGGACACUGAAGAAGAUCCAUCCCUUUUCUCUGCUCUUCCGGUCCAUCUGUCUCCCUCCACUUUUCCCCUCCUCUCCUCCCCCUCCCAUCUUCUCCCUCCCUCGCUGCCCCACCUUCUCUCGCAGAACCCAGAGUGGAUCGCUGGCCCUCCUGCGCAUGGGCAGUCGGUGCCAGCUGGACCGCGGGUUGGAAGCUCCAGCUCCGAGCCGGGGAUCGGCCCCAAAGGCUUCUCAGCUCUGUCGACCGGUAGGCCUUUAGCUCCUGCCCGGGGCCGGGGCCUCUGGCUGUGGAAGUGCAAGGUGGGGGGCUCCCGGGAAAGGGGUCAGGCGGCUGCGGGAGGGCGGUCGGCAUGUCACAGCCCCCCAGGUCGCCAGUCUGCCUGUGUUCAGCUGAAUUGCUCUGGCCAGACCCCUCUGCCCGCGCAACCUAACCCGGCGCCCCGGCCACACAUGUCCAUGGCCAGGUGUGCACCUGCAGCCCCUCACCCAGCCGGGCCCCCCUCAGUCCGUGGCUGGCGUCCCCUUCCCCUCUCCCGCCCGCUAGUCCUCUCCUCCCGGGCUGCCUCUCCUUGGCCGCCGGCCCGUCCCCGCCCCUGGGCGGGCUGUGUCCCGGGCGGGCGGGUUCUGCGGACCCGAACGGGGGCAGGCGGCUGGGGCUGGGGCUGGCCUCCGAGCGGGGCUGCAGCCCGCGUUUCCACCAACCCCCCACCCCCGCUUUCCCUGCCCGGCGACCCCGGGGCUGCCCUGCUCUUCCUUUCCUGCUCCCUGAGGACAAGCUCAGCGGCGUGGGCGCCGCUCCCUGGGCUGAGAGCCUCCGGCUGUAAAGCCCAGCUUCUGGUGGAGUCGGGAAAUUGGAUCCUCAGUGCUGAGCGAGCUUCUGUCUCCUCCCUCAGUGUUUCAGCCCCAAGGCCUGCAACAUGAGCAUCCCUGACUACGUGCAGUGUGCUGAGGACAAUGAGACUCUUCCCGUGGUGGUCAAACCAGUGGGGAUCAUCUCAGAGGAGAAUUUCUUUUGCAUCUAUAAGCGAAUAUCCUUGGUGAGCCAGAUCAGACCGUGCAGCUCCCAGGGCGCACUCUGUAUGCACUACAGGCACCACUAUGCGCCCAAGAAUGAAUGUAGCGUCUUCCAGACCCACCGCAUGGUUGUGGGCCUUGUCACCAUUACCGACUGCCUCUCGGCCAAGGCCUUCGAGAAGCUCCACGUGCAGAGGAGCUGUAUGGCAUCACGCUGAAUGACUCUCAGCUCUUUGUCUUUGUGCUGCAUGGGGAGGUAAGCCAAAGAGCCGCGCACCGACGUGGCCUUCAAUCUACGAGGACUGCAGGGUGGUGGAGAAGAGGAUCGAGGAAUUCACUGAGUCACUCUUCAUCUUGCUCAAGUCCAAGUGGCUGGAUGGGGCCCCUGAUAAGUCUGGGGACAAGAUCCCACUCCUCUGCAUGCCGUUUCAGAAGGAGGACUUCAUGGGAGUGGACCCAGACAGCAGGGCCCUGUGAUCUACAUGCCCGCGCUCCCCAUCUGUUCCUUGGAGAUGAGGUGUCAGGUUUAGGAGCCUGGGAACUGCUGAGGGCACAGCUGCCAGCACCGUGCUACACCGAGGCUGGCUCCGUUCACCCCACAUGUCACCUCCUGCUGAUCCACCAGGCGUCAGUCAAGUACGUUUUGGUUACUGAGACCCUCGAAUUCCCAUAUGAAUUGUAGCAGCAGCUAGUCAGUUACUGCAGAGGAGCCCACUGGGAUUGUGAUCGAGACCACGUUGAAUAUAUGGAUCGCUCUGUGGAGCACUGACAUUCCAAGAGCACUGUCAUCUGAUCCAGGAAUGUGCGUGGUGUGUCUGUCCAGGUGCCCUCACCUCCAUUGGCAUCCAUCCAGACACCAGCACUGACACUGGCCGUGCUCAGAACUGCCUCAGCCCUGAAGACACAACUGGCAAAUAGAAGGCGGCCACGCCCUGUUACAGCAGGUGCUCUCACUUUGUGGAUCCUUAUGUAACUGCGUGGUUUUAAUCAGGAUCGCCCGUUCUACAUUGUGUGGCGCUGCUGCCGUGUCUCCUAGUUAUUGUUUCUGGCCUGCAACAUGAGCAUCCCUGACUACGUGCAGUGUGCUGAGGAAUACGAGACUCUCCCUGUGGUCGUCCAACCCGUGGGGAUCAUUUCAGAGGACAAUUUCUUUUGCAUCUAUAAACGAAUCUCCUUGGUGAGCCAGAUCAGCCCGUGCGGCUCCCAGUGGGCACUCUGUAUCCACUACAGGCACCACUAUGCGUUCGAGAAUGCGUGGAGUGACUUCCAGACACAACGCACUGUCGUGGGCCUUGUCACCAUUACCGACUGCCUCUCUGCCAAUGCCUUCGAGAAGCUCCAUGUACAGAGGAGCUGUAUGGCACCACGCUUAAUGACUCUCAGCUCUUUGUCUUUGUGCUAUAUGGGGAGAUAGCCGAGCAGCCACGCACCAACGUGGCAUUCAAACUACGAGGACUGCCGGGUGGUGGAGAAGAGGAUCGAGGACUUCACUGAGUCACUGUUAAUCUUGCUCAAGUCCAAGUGGCUGGAUGGGGCCCCUGACAAGUCUGGGGAAAGGAUCCCCCUCCUCUGCAACUUGUUUGAGAAGGAGGACUUCAUGGGACUGGACACAGACAGCAGAGAUAUCCUUUUAGGGUCAGUGUGGAGACUUCCUCCCGCUUUUCAGCCAAGACCCCUGGUGGGACCCCUGGAGUUGCUGUCCAAUAGAGUAGCCACAGCCACUGAUGCUAUGAGCGCUGGGGAAGAGGCUGGUCUGAGCUGAGAUGUGCUGUAGGUCAAAUGCACAUCAGACGCUGAGACUUGUCUAGUAAAAAAUCGUUUUGGUUACUGAGACCCUCGAAUUCCCAUAUGAAUUAUAACAGCAGCUAAUCAGUUUUUGCAGAGGAGCCCGCUGGGAUUGUGAUCGAGACCACGUAGAAUAUACGGAUCACUCUGGGGAGCACUGCCAUUCCAAGAGCACUGUCUUCUGAUCCAGGAAUGUACGUGGCGUGUCUGUCCAGGUGCCCUCACAUCCAGUGGCAUCCAUCCAGACACCAACACUGACACUGGCCAUGCUCAGAACUGCCUCAGCCCUGAAGACACAGGUGACAAAUAGAAGGGGGCCGCGCCCUGUUACAGCAGGUGCUCUCACUUUGUGGGUCCUUAUGUAACUGCGCGGUGUUAUUCAGGAUCGCCCGUUCUACAUUGUGUGGCGCUGCUGCAGUGUCUCCUAGUUAUUUGUUUCUGAGAAUUACGGCCUGCUGCUUGAGUGUUUGAUCAGGAUAAAUGAUUUGUUUCUAUAAGAUGCCACGUACAGUCACAAUCUCAGUGAGAAAUGUGCUGUCACCUCUUCAUCUGCAACUCAGUGCUCGACAGGACAUCGGGGCAAAGCCAGUCCGUAAUUUGUUUGUGAUGCAAGUAGGAACAAAAUUAAUGUCUUGCCUUUCCCUUGCAGUAUUAUUACUCCUUUGCUUCAUUUACUUCUUUCCUCCUUUCCUUUCCCCUCCUCCACCAAAAGAUCCUGAGACUCUCUCAGAACACUAGAUUCAAAUUACUUUAAAGGGUGUCUCAUCCUCAUGAAAUGAUAGUAACUUAAAAAAAAUCUGUACAGAUACCAGACGUCAUUGUAUUUGAUUUACACACACACACGCACACCCACCCACACACACAAUCAGCCUACCUCCCACUUGCUGAGGGAGAAGGACCAAUUUUUCUGAGUUUUCAUUCACUGAGCGUGAGAGAAAAGUCUCUUACGCAGAUUUUCACCUUGAUUAGUGCAUGGUGUUUUUAAUUGGAUUUCUGCUUUGUGGCCAUAGAACUAUUCUCCUUAUAGAAGAGAGGAUGUGGAGACAUAGACAUUCUGCUGAGAUAUUGGUGUCAACAUAUUUGAGUUGGAAAGUACUUAGGACAGCAUAGAGUCGUAACUUUUUAUGGGUGAGAAUUCAUGAUAGUGUAACUUGGACAAGAACCUAGGUCUUCUGUCUUCGUGUCCACGUGGAUGAAGAGGCAACAGGGCGGGAGAUGGCAGGGAUCCUUCUUGCUUGAGUUCCAGGGUCUUGCUAGUUUUCAUUGCUCAGCUGCCUUUAGUUUAGGUCCGUGUGGCCUCUCAUGGGAAGGUCACUCUGUCCUGAUAGACUGAGUUUCUAAUCAGCAAAAAGCCCUGGACCCACUCAUAUUUCCCAGAGUUUUUCUGCUGUCCUGCUGACAGUUUAUAUAAAUGAUACCUAAGAAACUACUGGAUAUAAAAUCCUUAUUGUUAUCAUUUGCCCUCAAGUUCCAUAGGAAUGGGGUGCUGUCUCAGGCUGUCUAAGGCUAGAUCUGAACAAAGAUAGGGUGAUAGGCUGUGCUGCUGGACCCUCCCCAGUCAUAAGGGAUUUCCACCUUAGUAUUUAGAAUCAGACAGAUGAGUUCAAAUCUUGCCUUUACCAGUUAUUAGCUUUGUGAACUUGGGGAAGAAACUCUACUUGUUUGUGCCCAAUUUUCUUUAUCUGUAAAUAAGUUCAGUAUUUACUUUAGGGUUUUUGUUUUAGAAUUGAAUGAGCUAAUUCACUCAUUUAUACCGAAAAUACUGAUCGUGUGGUUCUAUGCUGGUGCCUUGGUAGAAGAUUACUAAGGGACUCAGCAGUGAGAAUGCAGGUGGGUGACCCCUGGAUCAUAGAGCUUAUAUUCCAGGAUAUGCUUGUAAAAGACUGGAUGUGCAGUGGAUUUUUAGUAAAUGUCCAUUCCUUUCUUUAUCCACAUUGAUUCUGUAUAUAUCUUUGUACAAUAUAUGAACAAUUUUUUAUUGCAAUUUAAAUCUCUUUGUAGUAUUUAAAUUAUGUAGCUAUAACAAAAUACGUGAAAUAAAAUGAUUUGUCUUUUUUUUCUUUUCAAUAUGCAAAACAAAAUAAAAUAGAAAAGAAAAAAAGGUUUUGAAGGAGUAGAAAUAAUUUUAUUUCUGUGGAAUCAAUUCCCUAUGUUAGGUUUUUUAGUUGUGUUGUUAAACAGCAUAUAAAAUUGAUAGGUUGUGACUUCAGUGUUGAUAGCUAGGUGAGUGUAGUUUCUUUUUGUGGUAGUCUUUGAUGAAUUAUUUGCACUAGAUCAUAAAUGAUGUGCAUGUUACAUAUUGGAAACGAGGAAAGAGUGGAGACAUACUACCUCCAAUGCAGUCAUCUUGUUACCAAUUCGAAACUCGUACUGCUUGCUGCAUGACAGGCCAAUAAAUCGGGAGAUUGAGGUGUUGGAGCAAGGAAUAGUGACUUUAUUUGAAAAGCUGGCAGACCCAGAAGAUGGCAGAAUGACAUGCUGGAGAACCGUCUCCCCCAAGUCAGAAAUCAGUCCGCUUCUAUACUAAAAAGGGGCGGGGAUGUGGUUGGUUGUUGCAAACUUCUUGCGGUACGAAUUGUUUCUCCUUGGAAAUCUUUGUUCUUGCAGCUGUCCACGUGGGUCAAAUCAUGGUGCCCCUCUAAUACCUCCAAAAAAAAAUCAAAGUUGAUUCUCUAUUUUGCAACUUGCCAUCUCUAUAUAAGUGCAGAAGAGUUAACAUCGUGAAAGAUCAGAGCCCGGAGAAUAGGCUCUCCUGGAUAUUUCAGCCUAAAGGCAAAUUUCUUUUACAAAAGGAUCUGAGAAGCAGGAGCAAGGAACGCAGGGAGAGAUCCAGGAAGACAUCUGACUGUGUUAAGAGAUGACAGUCACAGCCACACGGGGAGCGAGGACACUUGCAGCAAAGUAAAACGACUUCACAACUAUUGCAUCAGAGCUGCCGGUGUGAGAGAGCCUAAGCCUGUCUCAGAGUGCAGGGGACAAGCAGAAAGGAAUGUGUAAGAAUGCUGGUGACUGAGUUAGAAGCAUGCUUCAAAGCUGUCCGUGUCCUUGCCAUCCAGAAGCAGAGCCUGGGAGCUUCCGAAUUUCUCCAGAAUGCGGUUUACAUUCAUCUUCGACAGACGUUUCCAGUAAGGAUGGGGAGCAGAAGAGAAAACCCCCUGCUUCACAGUGGAAGCUGCUGUUUUGUGCAAAACUGACCAAAGUUUGGAGACCAGUCAUCAGCGGUGCUGGCAAAUGAAGAGACUUCGGGAUUUGGUGGGGCACUUGCUGCGACUUUCAGGCUCCUCCGCUCUGAUGUAAGAAUAUCCUCUUUCGACUUCUUGAUGCAGCUCCUUAAUGAAGAUCUCGUGAAGGAAACUUAGUCAAAACCUGGGAGCAUUCCUAGGAGAGAAUUCAGCAGUGCAGCAUCCUCUCCGAGCUCUAUGAUUUGAUCGGCUUCCAACGCAAGUCCGCCUUCUUCAAGCAGGUGGCCCCCGUUCAGCGCGCGGCCCCCGGCAUCCCAGAGCCUGGUGGGAAGGCCUGCUACCGACUCCUUCUGCAGAUGCUUCCUGGCUACAGUCUGUCGCUGGAUCUGCAGGACUUCAGCAAAGGUGUUGGAACUAAAACAUUGCUUCAGUCCCAUUAACCAUGCCUGGUUUGGGCCCUGCUUUCCUGUCUCAUCAGGGUGAAUUCUGAUUCGUUUAGAACAGGGCUCAGCAGACUUUUUCUGUCAAGGGCUUGGGAGUAAGUAUUUCAGGGUCUGCAAACCUCCUGAUCUCUGGUGCAGCUGCUCAGCUCUGCUGUUCAGACGCCAGAGCAGCCGGACAUUCCACACACCCACAGAGCAUUAUUAACAGUGGUGGCUGGGGCUGGAUUCGGUGUAUGAACUGCAGUUUGUCCCCACAGCCUCCUCACUAUUGACGCCUGCACCAGAGCGUGCAUUUGUGACAAUGGGUGAACCUGCACUGACACGUCAUCAUCACCCAGAGCCCAGACUUGACACUAGGAUUUACACUUGGUGGUGUGCACUCUGUGGGUUUGGACAGAUGUGCAAUGACAUGUAUCCACCGUCACAGCAUCAUACAGAGUAGUCUGUCUUAGUGACCUUAAAAUGCUCCGUGCUGCACCUCAUUCAUUGCUCCUUCCCCUCUAGCCUCUGACAGCCACUGAUCUUUUAGUCUCUGUGGUUUUCCCUUUCCCAGAACACCAUAUAGUUGGAAUCAGACAGUUGCGGUACCUUCCCAGAUUGGCUUCUUUCACUUAGUAAUAAGCAUUUAAGGUUCCUCCAUGUCUUUCCAUGCCUUGAUAACUCAUUUCAUUUUAGCACCAAAUAAUAGUCCAUUUUCUGGCUGGACCACAGUUUAUCCAUUCACCUACUGAAGAACAGCUUAGUUACUUCUGAGUUCUGGUGAUUAUGAAUAAAGCUGCUAUUAACAUCUGUAUGCAGUUUUGUGUGUGGACAUAAGUUUCCAUUUCGUCGAGUAAACACCAAGGAGCACAGUAGCCGGAUCAUAUGUUAGGAGUACGUUUAGUUUUGUAAAAAAUUGCCAGACCGUCUUCCAAAGUAUCUGGGCCCUUUUACAUUCCCACCAGCAAUGCAUGAGAAUUCCUGACGCUCCACAUCCUCACCAGCAUUCGGUGCUGUCAGUGUUCUGCGUUUUGGCAGUUCUGACAGGUGUGCAGUGGUACCUCGCUGUUUCAGUCUGCAGCCCCUUGAUGACAGAUGCUGUGGAGCAUCUUUCCAUAGACUUCUUUGGCAUCUAGAUUUCUUCUUCGAUGAGGUCUGUGUUCAGGCAUUUUGCUCAUUUUUUAAUCAGGUUGUUCAUCCUUCUUUUUGAGUUUAAAGAGAUUUUGGUAUAUUCUGGAUAUCAGCCCUUUAUCAAUGUGUCCCUGCCCUUCACCUGCAGCACCGGAGUUGUCCUUUGGGUCUCAGUGGAGUGUCAGCUCUUCAAAGAGGUUUCCUGUCUUCCCUCAGCCUAAAAACUGUCCUUGUAUUUUUCACUUUCAUUGUCUCAUUUUGUUCUUUUUAAAUAACAUUUCCCAUAAUUUCUAAGUACAUUAAAAAAAAGGGCAAUGAUUGAACAACACCUCCCCCACCAGGCCGUGUUCCCUGUGAGAACAGAGGCCCUGUCCCCACUCACCGUUUCCCAUGACAGCACAUGGCACAUGUCCAUGUAAAAGUGUGUAACGUGGGGCUAAACCUGAUGAGCAGCUAUGAUGACAUAUUUUGGCUACCAUUUAUUGAGUAGACUUUGUUUCUGAUGUUAAUUAUUAAAUCACAUGAAUGAAACAUGUUUGUUUUGAAAAAUAAAACAACAAAGCAAACCUCCA